CUUUACACUGGCAUGUGUGUACUAAACAAAUCAUUUUUCCACUGUAGUACGGUAGCGGAAAAAGGUGAUGGCCCCGUAGAGUUAGUACCGCAUGGGAGCGCUGAAAGAGAAAUGAACUAAACCAGUGACGUACCAGGAAGCAGAGCUGAAACCUCGUACCUUUUGCAUCAUGAUUUAGCCAGCGUAAACCAAGCAAAGCGCACUUUAGUUUGAUAACCCGAAACUAAGUGAGCUACUCCAGGGCAGCCUAGAUAUAGGGCGAACCCGUCUCUGUGGCAAAAGAGUGGGAAGACCUUCGAGUAGAGGCGAUAGGCCUACCGAACUUAGUAAUAGCUGGUUGCCUAGGAACUGAAUAGGAGUUCAGCCUCUCAGCUUUUUUAUUUACUAUUUAAUUAACCUAAAUAAUAACGAGGACACUGAGAGAGUUAGUCAAAAAAGGAACAGCUUCUUUGACAUAAGACACAACUUUUAUGGGAGGCUAAAGAUCAUAAUUUAAUUAAGGUAAUAUUUUCCUGUGGGCUUAAAAGCAGCCAUCUGCCACAAAAAGCGUUAAAGCUUAAAUUCACUUGCUUUCCCUAUAAUCCUGAUCUAUUAAUCUUAAUCCCCCAGAUUCUACUGGGCUACUCCAUGCAAACAUGGAAGUAACCAUGCUAAUAUGAGUAAUAAGAGAGCUAAUCUCUCUCCCUGCAUACGUGUAAGUCAGAUUGGAUAACCCACUGAAUAUUUAACGGCCUCACUCAAAGAGAGCACUAAGUAGCAUAAUAAAGAACCAGAAAACUACCUAACUACUACCGUUAACCCCACACAGGUGUGCUACCAGGGAAAGACUAAAAGAGAAAGAAGGAACUCGGCAAACACAUCAAGCCUCGCCUGUUUACCAAAAACAUCGCCUCUUGUAAUACGAAAAUGGGAGGUCCCGCCUGCCCUGUGACUAGUUUAACGGCCGCGGUAUUUUGACCGUGCGAAGGUAGCGUAAUCACUUGUCUUUUAAAUGGAGACCUGUAUGAAUGGCACAACGAGGGCUUUACUGUCUCCUUUCUCAGGUCAAUGAAAUUGAUCUCCCCGUGCAGAAGCGGGGAUAUAAACAUAAGACGAGAAGACCCUAUGGAGCUUUAGACUCAAAGGUAGACCCUAUUUAAUAACCCUAUAAAGGACUUUAAUUUUAGAGACCCUGCCCUGCGUCUUUGGUUGGGGCGACCGCGGAGAAAAACUAAACCUCCGUGUGGAGUGGGAGUACUCUAUCUCCUCCUAAAGCUAAGAACGACAACUCUAAGCAACAAAACUUUUGACCUAUAUAGAUCCGGCAAAGCCGAUCAACGAACCGAGUUACCCUAGGGAUAACAGCGCAAUCCCUUUUUAGAGUCCCUAUCGACAAGGGGGUUUACGACCUCGAUGUUGGAUCAGGACAUCCCGAUGGUGCAGCCGCUAUCAAUGGUUCGUUUGUUCAACGAUUAAAGUCCUACGUGAUCUGAGUUCAGACCGG
rnacentral:rRNA from 1 species